CUGUACAAGUCAAAACCACGCCUCUGUUAUUUGACUCUCUUCCCCUGUCUGUGGCUCAACAGACUCAGUUCCGGGAAAUCAUCCACCCGUUGACAGCUGCCCUGCGAGCCCCUUGUUGCUGACAGAGUUGCUUCUUGGGAAGAGAAUUGAGCAAAUUGUGGUGCAAAGAGGCUGCCGAGUGCAUCCACCCCACAGAGCCCAGGGAACGUCAGCCCCGGGCCAUGAGGUUUCUGUGCC